rnacentral:rRNA from 1 species
UAAGCCUGUGAAGGUGUGUCGUGAGGCAUGCUGGAGGUAUCAGAAGUGCGAAUGCUGACAUAAGUAACGAUAAAGCGGGUGAAAAGCCCGCUCGCCGGAAGACCAAGGGUUCCUGUCCAACGUUAAUCGGGGCAGGGUGAGUCGACCCCUAAGGCGAGGCCGAAAGGCGUAGUCGAUGGGAAACGGGUUAAUAUUCCCGUACUUGGUGUUACUGCGAAGGGGGGACGGAGAAGGCUAUGUUGGCCGGGCGACGGUUGUCCCGGUUUAAGCGUGUAGGUGUGUGUUCCAGGUAAAUCCGGUUCACUUUAACACUGAGGCGUGACGACGAGGCACUACGGUGCUGAAGCAACAAAUGCCCUGCUUCCAGGAAAAGCCUCUAAGCAUCAGGUAACAUCAAAUCGUACCCCAAACCGACACAGGUGGUCAGGUAGAGAAUACCAAGGCGCUUGAGAGAACUCGGGUGAAGGAACUAGGCAAAAUGGUGCCGUAACUUCGGGAGAAGGCACGCUGACACGUAGGUGAAGUGAUUUACUCACGGAGCUGAAGUCAGUCGAAGAUACCAGCUGGCUGCAACUGUUUAUUAAAAACACAGCACUGUGCAAACACGAAAGUGGACGUAUACGGUGUGACGCCUGCCCG